rnacentral:rRNA from 1 species
UACGAAGGGGGCUAGCGUUGUUCGGAAUUACUGGGCGUAAAGCGCACGUAGGCGGAUUUGUAAGUCAGGGGUGAAAUCCCGGGGCUCAACCCCGGAAUGGCCUUCGAGACUGUCGGUCUUGAGUUCGAGAGAGGUGAGUGGAAUUCCGAGUGGUAGAGGUGAAAUUCGUAGAUAUUCGGAGGAACACCAGGUGGCGAAGGCGGCUCACUGGCUCGACACUGACGCUGAGGUGCGAAAGCGUGGGGAGCAAACAGG